rnacentral:tRNA from 1 species
GGUAGGAUGGCUGAGCGAGGCAGUAAGCUGUAGACUUACUUACGGAGGUGAAAGUCCCCCUACUACAG